rnacentral:rRNA from 1 species
GACAGAGGGUGCAAACGUUGUUCGGAAUUACUGGGCGUAAAGCGCGUGUAGGCGGCUUCGCAAGUCGGGUGUGAAAGCCCUGGGCUCAACCCAGGAAGUGCAUUCGAAACUGCGGAGCUGGAGUCCUGGAGAGGAAGGCGGAAUUCUCGGUGUAGAGGUGAAAUUCGUAGAUAUCGAGAGGAACGUCGGUGGCGAAGGCGGCCUUCUGGACAGCGACUGACGCUGAGACGCGAAAGCGUGGGGAGCAAACAGG